rnacentral:rRNA from 1 species
AUUGAACGCUGGCGGCAGGCCUAACACAUGCAAGUCGAACGGUAACAGGAAGAAUCUUGCUUCUUUGCUGACGAGUGGCGGACGGGUGAGUAAUGUCUGGGAAACUGCCUGAUGGAGGGGGAUAACUACUGGAAACGGUAGCUAAUACCGCAUAACGUCGCAAGACCAAAGAGGGGGACCUUCGGGCCUCUUGCCAUCGGAUGUGCCCAGAUGGGAUUAGCUAGUAGGUGGGGUAACGGCUCACCUAGGCGACGAUCCCUAGCUGGUCUGAGAGGAUGACCAGCCACACUGGAACUGAGACACGGUCCAGACUCCUACGGGAGGCAGCAGUGGGGAAUAUUGCACAAAGGGCGCAAGCCUGAUGCAGCCAUGCCGCGUGUAUGAAGAAGGCCUUCGGGUUGUAAAGUACUUUCAGCGGGGAGGAAGGGAGUAAAGUUAAUACCUUUGCUCAUUGACGUUACCCGCAGAAGAAGCACCGGCUAACUCCGUG